rfam:Ciona savignyi cont_17269, whole genome shotgun sequence.
GUCUCUGUGGCGCAAUUGGUUAGCGCGUUCGGCUGUUAACCGAAAGGUUACUACUUUAAAUCCAGCAAGGGACG